rnacentral:rRNA from 1 species
CAAUAGCGUAUAUUUAAGUUGUUGCAGUUAAAAAGCUCGUAGUUGGAUUUCGGAUGGGACUUGCCGGUCCGUCGUUUCGAUGUGCACUGGCCAGUCCUAUCUUGUUGUCGGGGACUAGCUCCUGGGCUUCACUGUCCGGGACUAGGAGCUGACGAGGUUACUUUGAGUAAAUUAGAGUGUUCAAAGCAAGCCUACGCUCUGAAUACAUUAGCAUGGAAUAACACGAUAGGACUCUGGCUUAUCUUGUUGGUCUGUGAGACCAGAGUAAUGAUUAAGAGGGACAGUCGGGGGCAUUCGUAUUUCAUUGUCAGAGGUGAAAUUCUUGGAUUUACGGAAGACGAACAUCUGCGAAAGCAUUUGCCAAGGGUGUUUNCAUUG